AUGUGUGGGGCUUGCAUAUCACCCGGAAGGGGAGGAACCAGGUUUUCGUCAGAGGAGUUCUUGAAUGACCUCAGACCAGAUUGAAUGACCUCAGACCAGAAGGAAUAGGCCAGCAGCGAGAACACAGCCUAGAGCAGGCUAAG
rnacentral:lncRNA from 1 species